GGGGGCCUACGGGGGGCAGCAGUAGGGAAUCUUCGGCAAUGGACGAAAGUCUGACCGAGCAACGCCGCGUGAGUGAAGAAGGUUUUCGGAUCGUAAAACUCUGUUGGUAGAGAAGAACGUUGGUGAGGGUGGAAAGCUCAUCAAGUGACGGAAACUACCCAGAAAGGGACGGCUAACUACGUGCCAGCAGCCGCGGUAAUACGUAGGUCCCGAGCGUUGUCCGGAUUUAUUGGGCGUAAAGCGAGCGCAGGAGGUUUAUUAAGUAUGGUGUAAAAGGCAGUGGCUCAAGCAUUGUAUGAAUUGGA
rnacentral:rRNA from 1 species